GGCAGCUUCCCCAGUUGUGAAGCUUUCAGACUUGGACUGAGCCGCGACUGGCUUCUCUCUUCCCCAGCUUGCAGAAGGCCUAUCGUGGUCCUGUGCCUUGUGAUCACAGAUGUGCUUCAGCAGAUAGUUAGCCUUCCUUCAACUUUAAGAGAGAACUCUGCAAGUGAACUCUCAGCUUCUACAGUCCGAAGUAAAGAGAUGAUGUAAGAAUUUCAAAAGACUAGAGCUUUCUUCU
rnacentral:lncRNA from 1 species